ACCAAGGGAACGAGCUUGGCAGAAUCAGCGGGGAAAGAAGACCUUGUUGAGCUUGACUCUAGUCUGACUUUGUGAAAUGACUUGAGAGGUGUAGAAUAAGUGGGAGUCAUUUUCAGCGCAAGUGAAAUACCACUACUUUUAACGUUAUUUUACUUAUUAUGUGGGGCAGAGAUGGGGCAUUGCCCCUUUUUUAGGCCAUAAGACAUGUUUCGACAGGCCGAUCUGGGUGGAAGACAUUGUUGGGUGGGGAGUUUGGCUGGGGCAGCACAUUUGUUAAAAGAUAACGCAUCUAUCCUAAGAUUAUCUCAACAAGAACAUAAAUCUCGUGUGGAACAAAAGGGUAAAAUCUCAUUUGAUUUGCGACCAACCUCUUGAUCCUUGUAAUUCAUUGAUGGAUAUGAAUUAAUACAUCAAUUAGAUGUUUGCAUGCAUCAACAUAGUAAUUUAAAAUACUAAUUGCAUGAGU
rnacentral:ncRNA from 1 species